rnacentral:rRNA from 1 species
AUUCCAGCUCCAAUAGCGUAUAUUUAAGUUGUUGCAGUUAAAAAGCUCGUAGUUGGAUUUCGGAUGGGAUUUGCCGGUCCGCCUUUGAGGUGUGCACUGGUAGGUCCUAUCUUGUUGUCGGGGACUAGCUCCUGGGCUUCACUGUCCGGGACUAGGAGCCGACGAAGUUACUUUGAGUAAAUUAGAGUGUUCAAAGCAAGCCUACGCUCUGAAUAUAUUAGCAUGGAAUAACACGAUAGGACUCUGGCUUAUCUUGUUGGUCUGUGAGACCAGAGUAAUGAUUAAGAGGGACAGUCGGGGACAUUCGUAUUUCAUUGUCAGAGGUGAAAUUCUUGGAUUUAUGAAAGACGAACUUCUGCGAAAGCAUUUGUCAAGGAUGUUUUCAUCA